rnacentral:rRNA from 1 species
CAUAACCCCGGGAACCUGGGUAUAAUACCCGAUAGGUCUCGAUUGCUGGAAUGCAUCGAGAUUUAAAGCUCCGGCGCCUAAGGAUGGGUCUGCGGCCUAUCAGGUAGUAGUGGGUGUAGCGUACCUACUAGCCUACGACGGGUACGGGUUGUGAGAGCAAGAGCCCGGAGAUGGAUUCUGAGACACGAAUCCAGGCCCUACGGGGUGCAGCAGGCGCGAAAACUUUACAAUGCUGGCAACAGCGAUAAGGGAACCUCGAGUGCCAGGUUACAAAUCUGGCUGUCGAGAUGCCUAAAAAGCAUUUCAUAGCAAGGGCCGGGCAAGACCGGUGCCAGCCGCCGCGGUAACACCGGCGGCUCGAGUGGUAACCGUUAUUAUUGGGUCUAAAGGGUCUGUAGCCGGCCGGAUAAGUCUCUUGAGAAAUCUGGCAGCUUAACUGUCAGGCUUUCAGGAGAUACUGUCUGGCUCGAGGCCGGGAGAGGUGAGAGGUACUUCAGGGGUAGGGGUGAAAUCUUGUAAUCCUUGAAGGACCACCAGUGGCGAAGGCGUCUCACCAGAACGGACCUGACGGCAAGGGACGAAAGCUAGGGGCACGAACCGGAUUAGAUACCCGGGUAGUCCUAGCCGUAAACGAUACUCGCUAGGUGUCGGCCACGGUGCGACCGUUGUCGGUGCCGUAGGGAAGCCGUGAAGCGAGCCACCUGGGAAGUACGGCCGCAAGGCUGAAACUUAAAGGAAUUGGCGGGGGAGCACCACAACGGGCGGAGCUUGCGGUUUAAUUGGAUUCAACGCCGGAAAUCUUACCGGGACCGACAGCAAUAUGAAGGCCAGGCUGAAGACUUUGCCGGAUUAGCUGAGAGUGGUGCAU